rnacentral:rRNA from 1 species
AUACAGAGGUCUCAAGCGUUGUUCGGAUUCAUUGGGCGUAAAGGGUGCGUAGGCUGUAUGGUAAGUCAGAUGUGAAAUUUUAGGGCUCAACCCUGAAACUGCAUCCGAUACUGCCGUGCUAGAGGAUUCGAGAGGAGAUUGGAAUUCAUGGUGUAGCAGUGAAAUGCGUAGAUAUCAUGAGGAAGACCAGUGGCGAAGGCGAAUCUCUGGACAAAUCCUGACGCUGAGGCACGAAGGCUAGGGUAGCGAACGGCAUUAGAAACCCGAGUAGUCC